rnacentral:rRNA from 1 species
AACGAACGCUGGCGGCAUGCCUAACACAUGCAAGUCGAACGAGACCUUCGGGUCUAGUGGCGCACGGGUGCGUAACGCGUGGGAACCUGCCCUUAGGUUCGGAAUAACUCCCCGAAAGGGGUGCUAAUACCGGAUAAUGUCUUCGGACCAAAGAUUUAUCGCCUUUGGAUGGGCCCGCGUUGGAUUAGCUAGUUGGUAGGGUAAAAGCCUACCAAGGCGACGAUACAUAGCUGGUCUGAGAGGAUGAUCAGCCACACUGGGACUGAGACACGGCCCAGACUUCUGCGGGAGGGAGGCGGGGGGGAUAUUGGAACAUGGGGGAAAGGCUGAACCAGCAAUGCCGCGUGAGUGAUGAAGGCCUUAGGGUUGUAAAGCUCUUUUACCCGGGAUGAUAAUGACAGUACCGGGAGAAUAAGCUCCGGCUAACUCCGUG